CUCCUUUGACGUUAGCGGCGGACGGGUGAGUAACACGUGGGUAACCUACCUAUAAGACUGGGAUAACUUCGGGAAACCGGAGCUAAUACCGGAUAAUAUUUCGAACCGCAUGGUUCGAUAGUGAAAGGUGGUUUUGCUAUCACUUAUAGAUGGACCCGCGCCGUAUUAGCUAGUUGGUAAGGUAACGGCUUACCAAGGCGACGAUACGUAGCCGACCUGAGAGGGUGAUCGGCCACACUGGAACUGAGACACGGUCCAGACUCCGUACGGGGAGGCAGAAGGU
rnacentral:rRNA from 1 species